UACGUAGGGUGCAAGCGUUGUCCGGAUUUAUUGGGCGUAAAGCGCUCGCAGGUGGUCCGUCGCGUCGUGCGUGAAAGGCCCCGGCUCAACUGGGGAGGGUCGUGCGAUACGGGCGGACUGGAGGCCAGUAGGGGGAUGCGGAAUUCCGGGUGUAGUGGUGGAAUGCGUAGAGAUCCGGAGGAACACCGGCGGCGAAGGCGGCAUCCUGGACUGGUCCUGACACUCAGGAGCGAAAGCGUGGGGAGCGAUCCGGAUUAGAAACCCCCGUAGUC
rnacentral:rRNA from 1 species